UCAGUGCCAGACUGACAUGCUAAGGUAUU
rnacentral:piRNA from 1 species